rnacentral:rRNA from 1 species
AGAGUUUGAUCCUGGCUCAGGAUGAAUGCUGGCGGCGUGGAUAAGGCAUGCAAGUCGUGCGGUCCUGCUUUUUGCAGGAUAGCGGCAAACGGGUUAGUAAUACAUGGGUAACAUACCCCCGGCCCGGCCAUAACUUAGAGAAAUCUAAGCUAAUAGCCGAUGGUCUCUGAUGGUGCAAACCAGAAGAGUAAAGGUUAUCCGCAGGGAUAACUGGCCGGGGAUUGGCUCAUGGCCCAUCAGGUAGUUGGUAGGGUAAUGGCCUACCAAGCCGAUGACGGGUAGGGGGGCUGAGAGGCUGUUCCCCAACAAGGGCACUGAGACACGGGCCCUACUCCUACGGGAGGCAGCAGUCGAGAAUCUUCCGCAAUGGGCGAAAGCCUGACGGAGCGACGCCGCGUGCGGGAAGAAGGUCUUCGGAUUGUAAACCGCUUUUCCACCUGAGGAAACUUGCUUUUAGCAAGUUGACAGUAAGGUGGGAAUAAGGGGUUGCUAACUCUGUGCCAGCAGCAGCGGUAAUACAGAGACCCCGAGCAUUAUCCGGAUUUACUGGGCGUAAAGAGUCUUAAGGCGUCCUAUUAAGUUUUCUGCUAAAUUUCACGGCUCAACCGCGAAAGCACAGAAAAAACUAAUAGGAUAGAGGACGCUAGAGGCCAAUGGAACAGCCGGUGUAGGGGUAAAAUCCGUUGAUAUCGGCUGGAACACCGAAAGCGAAGGCAGUUGGCUGGGGCGUUCCUGACGCUGAAUGACGAAAGCGUGGGGAUAGAACGGGAUUAGAUACCCCGGUAUUCCACGCCCUAAACGAUGGAUGCUAGCUGGUGGAAGUGUCGACCCUUUCACUGGCGAAGCUUACGCGUUAAGCAUCCCGCCUGGGAAGUACGGCCGCAAGGCUAAAACUCAAAGGAAUAGACGGGGAGACACACAAGCGGUGGAUCACGUGGCUUAAUUCGACAACAAGCGAGGAACCUUACCAGGGCUUGACAUUCCGGUUAUCACUUCGCCGAAAGGCGGAGUUCCGCAAGGAAGCCGGAACAGGUGCUGCAUGGUUGUCGUCAGCAGGUGGCGUGAGCUGCUCCCUUAAAUGGGGAAACCUGCGAAAUCCUCGGCCAAUGUUUUACGUGUCAUUGGCGACUGCCGUGGUUAACACGGAGGAAGGUGGGGACGACGUCAAAUCAGCAUGGCUCUUACGUCCUGGGCUGCACACGUGAUACAAUGGUCGGUACAAAGAGUUGCAACACCGUAAGGUGAAGCCAAUCUCUUAAAACCGAUCUCAGUUCGGAUCGAGGUCUGAAACCCGACCUCGUGAAGCCGGAAUCGCUAGUAAUCGUGGAUCAGCCAUGCCACGAUGAAUAUGUUACUGUCUCUUGUACUCACCGCCCGUCAAGUCAGGAAAGUUGGUAAUACCCAAAGUCCCUAUUUAUUAGGGCCGAAGGUAGGACCAGCGAUCAGGGCUAAGUCGUAACAAGGUAACC